GCCGGGUGGAUGCAUGGAGGCACAGAGGGCCGGUCGGCCACCGCGCUGAGCACCGUGGGGGAGGCCCCAUCAUGCCCCCCUCCACCACAGAGGACCCCGAGGCUCGGAGAGGGGUGAGGGUCCCCCCAGCCCACUCACCCCGAGACGCCCAACACAAACAUUGCAAGGGUCGCCUGGUGGAGCAGAAACCGCAGCCAGCGACGCCCCGUUCAUCUGUCCCUGCACAUUCUGGGGCUUGGACGGUGGCUUCUGAGUCCAGAACUGCAGGGUCAUCUGCUCUGCGCUCGAGGCUGGAACGUCUCAGACCAGAUCCCUCCCUCCACAGGCUGAGAGAGGGAGAGACCCUGGCCAGGCCUCCCAGGGGCCUGCCCACCCGGCAGCUCCUGACUCCCCCACCUCAUGAUCCGGAAAUGAAGGGCUUCCGCCCAGGAAUGGUCGAUGUGUUUCUUCAUGUUGCCCAGGCUGGCCUCCAACUCCUGAGCUCAAGCGAUCCUCCCGCCUCGGCCUCCCAAAGUGCCGGGAUUACAGGCGUGAGUCACCACACCCAGUCUGAGCAGCGAAGGAAGAUGAGGCUGGAGAACAAGGGUGCCCAGACCCUGGGUCCCGCAGCAAGGACCCCAUCAGCAUCCAGUGGAUGGUGGAGGGGAGGCGGCCUGACCACUCCGGACUCCAGCCAGUCGCCCGAGCCUGGCUGAGGAAGAGCUGGGGGCGCCUGGGUGGGCAGUCUCAGCGCCGUUCAGUGCUCGUGGUCCCCUAAGCAUCAAAAACCAGAGCCUGUUAUGAUCUUGCGACGAGGAGGGGCCCAGCCCCUCGCAGGAACCGCCGUCAGCCCCCUCCGCCCACCCACCAGGCUCUGCAGUUACCGUUUGCGAUAACCACUCCCCUCUCAGCCCACGUGUUAAUGACGGUGGCAUCAUCCAUCAAGCCUGCGGCUGCGGCUUUAGAAGCUCUGUGGCCAGGAGGGGAAACUGAGGCAGAGAGGUUCACCUGGGCCCCUGCGUGAGGCCACAGCUGCAGAAGUCAGAUAAGCCCAGGUUCCGGCGCUCCCUCUGCCACCCGCCAUUUAUGAGGACUGUUCCCUGAGCCUCAGUUUGCUCAUCUGGAAAAUGGGCUACGGUGACACGGGGUGGGGUCUCAGAUCCCGGGGGCUCUUCUUCGUUUUGUUGUGUUUUGUUUUGAGAUGGAGUCUCUCUCUGUCGCCCAGGCUGGAGCGCAAUGGCACGGUCUCAGCUCACUGCAACCUCCGCCUCCUGGAUUCCAUUGAUUCCCCUGCCUCAGCCUCCCGAGUAGUGGGGCAUACAGGUGCCCACCACCACGGCUGGCUAAUUUUUGUAUUUUUAGUAGAAAGCGCGUUUCACCAUGUUGGCCAGGCUGGUCUCUAACUCCUGACCUUGUGAUCCUCCCGCCUCGACCUCCCAAAGUGCUGCCAUUACAGGCAUGAGCCACCGCACCUGGCCUCCUGGGGGUUCUUGAUGAACAGAAUCAGCAGUCCCCAUGGAGAUAGGGCCUUUGUAGCCCGAUGAUGGCGGAUCCCGCCCCCCGCCCAACCUUCCCUGUGAGCCCACUGUCCAGAGCAAUGCCAGCAAACCCUCAGUGGACGUUUGUUGAAUGACUGAAUGACUGUGUUGUACAGGGACUGAGUCAAGUGCUCUUUUUGUCAACUGGGCAAGACUGGAGGCCAAAGCCUCAUUCUCCAUCGUUCACUCCUCCAGGA